ensembl:lncRNA
GCAGCCUUGAUCCCCAGGUCAGCAAGAUUCCCUGGAGAAGGAAAUAGGAACCCAUUCCUGUAUUCUUGCCUGGGAAACCCAUGGACAGAGGAGCCUGGCGGGCUACAAUCUGCGGGGUUGCAAAGAGUCGGACGCAUCUGAGCGACUAUAACAACAGCAGCAAUCACAGAGAGCUCCAGGGCUGCUCAGCACACAGGAGGGCGAGGCCUCACAGCUUGUCAGAAGACCCAGCUGUGCAGAGGCCGGGCGAAAGGAGAAAGUGGGCUCCAAUGACGCCUGUUAGAGCUUUAAUCCUCAGCUGUGACACAUGGAGGGAGCUAUGAACAGGAAACUCAGAGCUGGGCCGCCAGCCAGAAACAUUCAGAAAACGUGCCAAGCCCUUUCGAAAUACCACACUCUCCACUGAACACUCACUGCUAACAGUUCACAGGCUGUCUCUCUUCUCAAGUGACGGAGCCAUAGACCCGGGCCAUCCAGUCUGUCAGAGUUCCCGUCAUCAGAGUCUGAACCAGUCAAAGCCAGGCCUGGAUCUCCCACCUCCUCCCUCUUCUCCUCCAGAUCCUCCUCCUAACGACAUCCACAGAUGUGAGCUCCCAGCAAUACCGAAGGACCCUUCCUUCAAGCUUGUGCCCUGGACAUCUGGUGCAUGAACGGACUGCUAAAGACAUAACCUCACUCAAAGAGCUGAGAUGCCCUGAUGAGAAGAGCCGACUCAUUGGAAACGACCCUAAGGCUGGGAAAGAUUGAGGGCAGGAGGAGAAGCGGACAACAGGGGACGAGAUGGUUGGAUAGCACCAUUGACUCAAUGAACAUGAAUCUGAGCAAACUCUGAGAGACAGUGGAGGAAAGGCAACUGUGGGGUGGCAUAGAGUCAGGCACAACUAAACGACUGAACAGC